rnacentral:rRNA from 1 species
GAGCCUACGGGGGGCAGCAGUGGGGGAUAUUGCACAAUGGGGGGAACCCUGAUGCAGCGACGCCGCGUGGGUGAAGGAGCGUUUCGGCGCGUAAAGCCCUAUCGGCAGGGAAGAAGAUGACGGUACCUGACCAAGAAGCCCCGGCUAAGUACGUGCCAGCAGACGCGGGAAUAAGCAGGGGGCAGGCGUUAUCCGGAUUUACUGGGGGUAAAGGUGGCGCAGACGGGAAU